AAAAAAAAAAAAAAACAGAAAAAUAAAAAGAAACACCUUUCUAGCAAAUACUGAAAUGUAGAGUCAGCUUGAACACCACAAUAGUCUGUGAUUGCAGCAUCAACACCAUAGAGAGUUGAAAAUCUUCCUCCAAAACUCUGCUCUUGCUCUCAAAUCAGCAGAGGAUCCUCUGUGUUCUCGCUCUCAAAAUUGUCUCUGCUCAAAGAAUUGCAGGAGACCCGUUGCCAGCUUGGAGAACACCAUACAUCACACUCCAAAAGCCUGUGAUAAAUAUCAAAUAUGGAUCCAUUUUCCAUUCCUAACACAAACAUAUAGCAAAUCAUCUCAAAUGAAGAAUAAGAUGGAUAAAAGAAUGACCUGUCAAUGCACUAGACACCCUUUGCAUUUUUGUUCAUCGCUUGUCAUUUCAUUUCAGAAGCGGUAGAAGUUCUUUCUUCAUCCUCUAGUAGAUAGCGGCCUUCACUUUGGAUUUCUUUGCCAUUAACACGAAUAUUUGGGAUGUGAGAAAUGA
rnacentral:misc_RNA from 1 species